GAAAAAAUUUGGGAAGGCAAGAUGACGCGCUAUCCGUCUUAGUCGCUCCGGAGGACACGUGAUCCAAAGUAGAUAUUGUCAUAUAUCAGUUUGGAGCACUUAGAUGCGUAGGAGUGGUUCACUUAGCUACUAGCACCUAGAUGUAUUUCCCUCAGAAAACCAUUGAUCAAAGGGGAAUCUCAACAGUUCCCGGGGAUCAACUUCAAUAGUUCGCAAUUGCGGGCGCGGCGGCGCUGGGCUCUCUCUUCCAUACCCGCAUUAAUCAGAAUAAAAUGAAGCAAAAUCCUUCAGCUGCUCCGCGGGGCGACGUUUUCCAAAGGCAGAUCUCGGUUGCAGAAGAUAAGUGCUGCCGGCAGAAGAAAGCAAGGUGUCCCCUCCCCAGUUUGGCUUUUUUGGAGGCUCGCGGUGAAACCAGCUCCGGAUGAAGCCGGAGGAGGAAGGGAGACAGAGGAAGAGCAGCACGCCUUACUGCGAGGCAAGAGGUGCCAAAUGACCCGGUUUCAUCCUCAAAAAGGGGAUUGCGAGAAAAUUGAGAGCGGGAGGCAAAAGAUUUUUGACCGGCCGCCUUGAAUUUUCUGUGUUGCUUGUGAUUAAACUUUGCUUAAAGAGG